rnacentral:rRNA from 1 species
GCGCAGCAGGCGAGAAACCUCCGCAAUACACGAAAGUGUGACGGGGCCAUCCCGAGUGCCGUCCGCUGAGGACGGCUUUUCCCCAGUGUACAUAGCGUGGGGGAAUAAGGAGAGGGCAAGCCUGGUGUCAGCCGCCGCGGUAAUACCAGCUCUCCGAGUGGUGGGGACGCUUAUUGGGCCUAAAGCAUCCGUAGCCGGCUGGGCAAGUCCUCCGUUAAAUCCAACGAUUCAAUCGUUGGGCUGCGGGGGAUACUGUCCAGCGUUGGGGGGCGGGAGAGGCCGACGGUA